AUGUGGGAUUAAUUCGAUGCAACGCGAAAAACCUUACCUACCCUUGACAUGCCACUAACGAAGUAGAGAUACAUUAGGUGCUCGUAAGAGAAAGUGGACACAGGUGCUGCAUGGCUGUCGUCAGCUCGUGUCGUGAGGUGUUGGGUUAAGUCCCGCAACGAGCGCAACCCUUGUCGUUAAUUGCCAUCAUUUAGUUGGGCACUUUAGCGAGACUGCCGGUGACAAACCGGAGGAAGGUGGGGAUGACGUCAAGUCCUCAUGGCCCUUAUGGGUAGGGCUUCACACGUCAUACAAUGGUCGGUACAGAGGGUUGCCAAGCCGCGAGGUGGAGCCAAUCCCAGAAAACCGAUCGUAGUCCGGAUUGGAGUCUGCAACUCGACUCCAUGAAGUGGGAAUCGCUAGUAAUCGCGGAUCAGAAUGUCGCGGUGAAUACGUUCCCGGGUCUUGUACACACCGCCCGUCAAACCAUGGGAGUGGGUCUCACCAGAAGUAGGUAGCCUAACCGUAAGGAGGGCGCUUACCACGGUGGGAUUCAUGACUGGGGUUAAGUCGUAACAAGG
rnacentral:rRNA from 1 species